CUAUACAACCCACUAACUUUCC
rnacentral:miRNA from 8 species